CAAUCGACUCGUUGCUUUAAAAAACUAAGGUGUGUACUUGCCUGCAUCUUUUCCUUAAUUUGAUGUUUCUUUGAGAAUCCGAGUAAAUUCAGAUUAUUAUUUGCUUACUGUGCAGAACACACAGAGUUUUUUGCAUACAGCCAGUUAUUGUUUCUAUAAAGUUGUCAGAGCAAUUUUUAAAAGCAUCCCUAGGUGACGGUUGACGUAUUUGUGCUUGAUAUGCUUUUUGCUUCAAAUUUUAAACUCGAAUAAAAAAUGCAGGUAUUUGUAAAUGUAUGUACGUUCAUAACUAAUCCAGUCCCCCAGAGAAUGACUGCCACAUGUGACAUAAAUAAAGCUGCCUUGACAAACAGCAAACGUCAAAUUAUAGCAAGUGUGUCACUCUGAUGUAGGUUACAGAAGCCUACAUCUGUAACUGCUUGUAGGGGGAGAUGGUAUAAAGCAGGGAUUGCUACGGAGAUUUUAAAGUUUACGGAAAGCUUUUUGAAAGCCCUCUCUGGUGGCAAUAUUUACCAUUUGAAGAAGAGGAUAAAACCGUAAAAUCUGGAAG
rnacentral:lncRNA from 1 species